rnacentral:lncRNA from 1 species
UCGUUUUUCCCCUUCUCCUCUCAAAAUCCUUUCUUUUUCCCGCAGCCCAUCAAACUAGUCUCAGAAAAACGACGAUCUCGAACCCGUUCACCGUUGGAUCGUCGUGAAAUUUGAGUAUCAUGUUCGCAACACAAUUCCGAGAAUUCUCACCGUUGGGAAUUUUGAUAUCACGUCUGAACUGAGAGAAACACCCUUCGCAUUGUAGCCUUUUUCUUUCCCGCAGAAACCCAGAGCUGUCUUGGUAAAACUACGAUCCCGGUUUAGUUAACCGUUGGAUUAUUGUGAAAUUUGGAUAUGUUGUUCGAAAUUCAAUUCCGCACACUUACACCGUUGGGAUUUGCGAGAUAAUAUUCGUGGAGGGAGAAAAAGGAAUCGCAUGAAGACAGCACAAGUGGAGGUUUCAAUCUCUUCUCCGUCGGUAAGGGAUGAGUUAUUCACAGUUGAGGAUUAGUGAGAACAUGUGCAGGGAUCCUUAGAGGAUUAAAUUGGGGUUUUAUUUUGAGAUGUUUAUUAAAUUGCAAUUUUUCCUUUAUGAUUAUAAAUAAAAUAUUGAUGUCCUAAUGAAAAUUGCUUGAUAAAUGUGCUCUUGAUAUUUGUAUAUUUCGACCUAUGAUUUUGAUAUAAUUGUGUAAUAUUAGUUAAGGGGUUUUAGUCCUAAUGUUGUGAUAGUGUGUUAUAUAAAUUGUUAUAUUGAGGAUAUGAAAUGAUGAUUCAAAUUGUGAGUAUGUGAUGAAUUGUAGAAGAAUAUGUUGCUUUGAGAUUAUAAUAUUGUUAUUGAGAUUGAGUAUAAGUGUAAAGUUGAACAUGUGCUAAUUUGUGAGAUACGUGUAAACAUGUGAUGGUGGAUUGUCACACUAUGAGAAGUGAAAUUGUGAAUGAGUUCUAGUUGUGGAUAAGUGUGUAGUUAACACUUGAUGUGAAAUUACUUGUGUUGUAAGCUAUGAAUUGUACAAUAACCCGACCAGUGUUAUCUUGAGAAAAGCGUUGAUGCGCAGUGUUAAAGAGAAAAUGUAGGUUUCCUAUUUAGGAGCCAGUGUUAAAUCAUAGUGCGAUUGUGUUGAACGUGUUUAAAACACGAGUGUAAGGUCGUGGGUAUUGUAUAAUUCAUGAGCAGUGUCUGCAUGCAAAAAUUAUUUUAGGGGUUGGACCUGAAUCAGGAGGGAGAGGCCCUGACGGACUCUUCGGAGUGUAGGCCUUGGGGGUCACCGGGUUUGAGUGCUCCUUUAAGCCUAUGCUGAUCUCAUAUGGUUGGAGCAUUCUCGCAAAACAUCGUGACCCUGACUGGUCUCCCUAUGAUCUUACUUAGUGAGAGUGACCUGACAAACCCAUUGUGUGGUGUGUCUUGUUAUGUACUCCUAAGCGCCCCAGGGUGGUUUUUCACUGACAUGGUACCACAUUGCAUAUAGGCUUGAGUCUUAGCAUAACUGUCGCAUACGCUUGCUAAUUGUUUAUUAUGAAAUUGAUGUGUUAUUAUGUCUUGAUCAGAGUGUGUGAUUUCUGUGUAUAGUGAUUGAUGACUGAAAGGUGUAAUUGAUGGAUGAAAAGUGUGAUUGAUGAAUGACAAAGUGAUGAAAUAAUGUGAGAUAUGCUAAGUAAAUUGUAUUUGGCUACUAUAUGUUGUGUUGUUUCUCUCUAGUAGUUAGCAAUGUGAUAACUCACUCCCGGUUUGCUGUUUGUGUUUGGAUCCUGUGAUGAUCUUGAACUUUGUGUUCGGGGGAGCAGAUGAAUAGGUGGAUGACUAUGAAGAACCUCAUGCUAGAGGACACGGGAACACAACGCUCUGAUAGGAUGUGACAUUAGGAUAUAGGUUCUAUAUUAAUUGUAUGAAGACCUUGUUGAGUCGAGAAUACUUUAUUAUUUAUUUGGACAAGUUUGAAUAUGAUGUAGAAGAAAAUGAAUGUGAG